UACGUAGGGUGCAAGCGUUGUCCGGAAUUAUUGGGCGUAAAGAGCUCGUAGGUGGCGGGUCACGUCGGGUGUGAAAGCCCGGGGCUUAACCCCGGGUCUGCAUUCGAUACGGGCUUGCUAGGGUCCGGCAGGGGAGACUGGAAUUCCUGGUGUAGCGGUGAAAUGACGCAGAUAUCAGGAGGAACACCGGUGGCGAAGGCGGGUCUCUGGGCCGGUACUGACGCUGAGGCACGAAAGCGUGGGGAGCAAACAGG
rnacentral:rRNA from 1 species